rnacentral:rRNA from 1 species
AUUGAACGCUGGCGGAAUGCUUUACACAUGCAAGUCGAACGGCAGCACGGGGGCAGCCCUGGUGGCGAGUGGCGAACGGGUGAGUAAUACAUCGGAACGUGCCCGGUCGUGGGGGAUAACGUAGCGAAAGUUACGCUAAUACCGCAUACGAUCUGAGGAUGAAAGCGGGGGACCUUCGGGCCUCGCGCGAUCGGAGCGGCCGAUGUCAGAUUAGGUAGUUGGUGGGGUAAAGGCCUACCAAGCCGACGAUCUGUAGCUGGUCUGAGAGGACGACCAGCCACACUGUGACUGAGACACGGCCCAGACUCCUACGGGAGGCAGCAGUGGGGAAUUUUGGACAAUGGGCGCAAGCCUGAUCCAGCCAUUCCGCGUGCAGGACGAAGGCCUUCGGGUUGUAAACUGCUUUUGUACGGAACGAAAAGGCUCUGGCUAAUACCUGGGGCUCAUGACGGUACCGUAAGAAUAAGCACCGGCUAACUACGUG